rnacentral:rRNA from 1 species
UACGGGGGGGGCAAGCGUUGUUCGGAAUUACUGGGCGUAAAGGGUUCGUAGGUGGCUUGCUAAGUCAGACGUGAAAUCCCUCAGCUUAACUGGGGAACUGCGUCUGAUACUGGCGAGCUCGAGUGCAGGAGAGGAACGCAGAAUUCCAGGUGUAGCGGUGAAAUGCGUAGAUAUCGGGAGGAAUACCGGUGGCGAAGGCGGCGUUCUGGACUGCAACUGACACUGAUGAACGAAAGCCAGGGGAGCAAACGGG